AUUGAACGCUGGCGGCAGGCCUAACACAUGCAAGUCGAGCGGCAGCGGGAAAGUAGCUUGCUACUUUUGCCGGCGAGCGGCGGACGGGGGAGUAAUGCCUGGGAAAUUGCCCAGUCGAGGGGGAUAACAGUUGGAAACGACUGCUAAUACCGCAUACGCCCUACGGGGGAAAGCAGGGGACCUUCGGGCCUUGCGCGAUUGGAUAUGCCCAGGUGGGAGUAGCUAGUUGGUGAGGUAAUGGCUCACCAAGGCGACGAUCCCUAGCUGGUCGGAGAGGAUGAUCAGCCACACUGGAACUGAGACACGGUCCAGACUCCUACGGGAGGCAGCAGUGGGGAAUAUUGCACAAUGGGGGAAACCCUGAUGCAGCCAUGCCGCGUGUGUGAAGAAGGCCUUCGGGUUGUAAAGCACUUUCAGCGAGGAGGAAAGGUUGAUGCCUAAUACGUAUCAACUGUGACGUUACUCGCAGAAGAAGCACCGGCUAACUCCGUGCCAGCAGCCGCCGUAA
rnacentral:rRNA from 1 species